CCUACGGGAGGCUGCAGUGAGGAAUAUUGGUCAAUGGACGCAAGUCUGAACCAGCCAAGUAGCGUGCAGGAUGACGGCCCUCCGGGUUGUAAACUGCUUUUAGUUGGGAGUAAAAGGGGGCUCGUGAGCCCCGUAGUGUAUUUACCGUCAGAAAAAGGACCGGCUAAUUCCGUGCCGGCAGCCGCGGUAAUACGGAGGAUGCGAGCGUUAUCCGGAUUAAUUGGGUUUAAAGGGUGCGCAGGCGGAAGAUCAAGUCAGCGGUAAAAUGGAGAGGCUCAACCGCUUCGAGCCGUUGAAACUGGUUUUCUUGAGUGAGCGAGAAGUAUGCGGAAUGCGUGGUGUAGAGGUGAAAUGCAUAGAUAUCACGCAGAACUCCGAUUGCGAAGGCAGCAUACCGGCGCUCAACUGACGCUCAUGCACGAAAGUGUGGGUAUCGAACAGGAUUAGAUACCCCAGUAGUC
rnacentral:rRNA from 1 species